AAAUUGAAGAGUUUGAUCAUGGCUCAGAUUGAACGCUGGCGGCAGGCCUAACACAUGCAAGUCGAGCGGUAGCACAGAGAGCUUGCUCUCGGGUGACGAGCGGCGGACGGGUGAGUAAUGUCUGGGAAACUGCCUGAUGGAGGGGGAUAACUACUGGAAACGGUAGCUAAUACCGCAUAAUGUCGCAAGACCAAAGUGGGGGACCUUCGGGCCUCAUGCCAUCAGAUGUGCCCAGAUGGGAUUAGCUAGUAGGUGGGGUAACGGCUCACCUAGGCGACGAUCCCUAGCUGGUCUGAGAGGAUGACCAGCCACACUGGAACUGAGACACGGUCCAGACUCCUACGGGAGGCAGCAGUGGGGAAUAUUGCACAAUGGGCGCAAGCCUGAUGCAGCCAUGCCGCGUGUGUGAAGAAGGCCUUCGGGUUGUAAAGCACUUUCAGCGGGGAGGAAGGCGUUAAGGUUAAUAACCUUGGCGAUUGACGUUACCCGCAGAAGAAGCACCGGCUAACUCCGUGCCAGCAGCCGCGGUAAUACGGAGGGUGCAAGCGUUAAUCGGAAUUACUGGGCGUAAAGCGCACGCAGGCGGUCUGUCAAGUCGGAUGUGAAAUCCCCGGCUCAACCUGGGAACUGCAUUCGAAACUGGCAGGCUAGAGUCUUGUAGAGGGGGGUAGAAUUCCAGGUGUAGCGGUGAAAUGCGUAGAGAUCUGGAGGAAUACCGGUGGCGAAGGCGGCCCCCUGGACAAAGACUGACGCUCAGGUGCGAAAGCGUGGGGAGCAAACAGGAUUAGAUACCCUGGUAGUCCACGCCGUAAACGAUGUCGAUUUGGAGGUUGUGCCCUUGAGGCGUGGCUUCCGGAGCUAACGCGUUAAAUCGACCGCCUGGGGAGUACGGCCGCAAGGUUAAAACUCAAAUGAAUUGACGGGGGCCCGCACAAGCGGUGGAGCAUGUGGUUUAAUUCGAUGCAACGCGAAGAACCUUACCUGGUCUUGACAUCCACAGAACUUUCCAGAGAUGGAUUGGUGCCUUCGGGAACUGUGAGACAGGUGCUGCAUGGCUGUCGUCAGCUCGUGUUGUGAAAUGUUGGGUUAAGUCCCGCAACGAGCGCAACCCUUAUCCUUUGUUGCCAGCGGUUAGGCCGGGAACUCAAAGGAGACUGCCAGUGAUAAACUGGAGGAAGGUGGGGAUGACGUCAAGUCAUCAUGGCCCUUACGACCAGGGCUACACACGUGCUACAAUGGCAUAUACAAAGAGAAGCGACCUCGCGAGAGCAAGCGGACCUCAUAAAGUAUGUCGUAGUCCGGAUUGGAGUCUGCAACUCGACUCCAUGAAGUCGGAAUCGCUAGUAAUCGUAGAUCAGAAUGCUACGGUGAAUACGUUCCCGGGCCUUGUACACACCGCCCGUCACACCAUGGGAGUGGGUUGCAAAAGAAGUAGGUAGCUUAACCUUCGGGAGGGCGCUUACCACUUUGUGAUUCAUGACUGGGGUGAAGUCGUAACAAGGUAACCGUAGGGGAACCUGCGGUUGGAUCACCUCCUUACCUUAAAGAA
rnacentral:rRNA from 1 species